rnacentral:lncRNA from 1 species
UUUGGCUCUUGGAAUGUUGACUGAUGUUCACAUUGCUGAAUCUGCAAUGACCUCAGUAGAUCCAAGGGCCAAACUCCAAGUGAGCAUACCAGGUCAUGUUGGUAUAACCAGCUUCAUGGGGGGUGGCUUUACUAAGUCCGAAGAUUCUGAUCAGUUCCUCUCUUGCCCAUACAUGGCACCACUGACUCCUGUUAGAGCACACCACUGUGAAUGAUGCAUGAACUGCACUAGGUCCAAAUGGACUAACUAGGCCUGCUGUGCCACUAUGGGAAAGAGCAGACUUUGGUGCCUCUGAAAAGCAGCUGCCUGCAGAUUGCAGCUGAUUUCUGAGAUCCCUGAAACAAGACAUGAAGUGAGUAUCACAAGAUGUGAUGGAAACGCGGUAGAAGACACGGACUCUGCCGUCAAGAGAGGGAGGUCACACACCAGCUGCACAGCAUUCAGCAAGUCACAUCACUUCUCUUGGCUUUAGGUCACUCAAAACCAAAGUGGGAACAGUAACUCCUUUUUCUACCCACCUGCUUGCUAGGGUGGGCAUGAGAUUCAAAUAAGAUACAGCUGUGUUUGAAUCCUGGCUCUGCUACAUCCUGCCACGAGCUUGACUGUAUUACUUAUUUAAUUUUCCAAAUCUGGGUUUUUGUCCCUGUAAAGUGAAGAUAAUAUGUGAACACCUUACACGGUUGUUACAAGAAUUAGGUGAUGUAUAUAAAGCACCUAUCACAGUGGGUGCUUGGUAAAUGAGAGCCUCAAUAUUAAGCAGGCUACUUGUUUGAGUUACACAAGGGCACCAUCAAACAUAUGGCAGCUUUCUCAAUCAAAUGGCAGAUCCACUCAGUUGACAACCAACCUUUGUUGAACUAGGCACCAUAUCUUGCUGAUAAAGCUCACACAGUGACAGCAAGAGUACCUGGGCUGUGAUCUGUAACCCAAGUUUCAGCCUCCCUGGUGUCCCUCAUCCUCCAGUCAUACAGGGCCACCCCACUCUUCAAUAUCAAAUAGCAAAUCAACUGGCUCUGACUCCCAUCUCACAUACAGCAGGAAAUUCUCAUCCCUCCCCUCCAUAUUUCCAUAGCUUCUCAGAGGAUUGAUAUUUCUUUUAGAUACUUCCUGAGUUCCUGCUUCUGCUGCAUUCUUGGUCUCUGCUUGUGUCUCACCUCCUAUAGCUGUUUUCCUUUUUUUCAUUGUCCAUUGAGCCAAAUGUAAAAUACAUCUCCUUUUCUCUUCCAUUACGGUUAUUUGCUUUUAUCUCUUAUCACAUACAAAUAAUCAGGUUGGUCUGUUAUUAUUUGUUUGAAUACAAGGUUUUAAUCUAGCGUCCACCUGUGUUUCUGCUCUUUGACUUUCCUGUACUUCUUGCAUAGAGUGGCUUCUGAUAUUCUUACUUCUCUUAAAUUCACACAAUCAUUUUAUGUGGGUGCAAGCAUGUGACCCAACUACGUGUUCUAGUCUGUUCAUGUGUGAAUAUAUACAUAUUGAAACACAUUUUAAAAAUCCAUGUUUUGACCUUUAUAUUAUAGUUAGGACAUUAUAUUGAUUUUUAUAGUAAUGUACACAGGUUAUAUUAUCUAUGAAUUCAAUUUUAGGACAGUAAAGGGGGCAAAAACUAAAUAUACAUUAUAAAAUCAGGGCGUUGGGUCUGUUAGUGUAGUGGGUGGUGUAUGGGUGAAUUGGAGCGACAUCUUUCCAUUCUUGUGGCUUCUCUUUCUGCCGGCAACCACUCUAACAAGAGCAGGGGAUGUGGAAUGCGAAACCUGCAAUCUGAAGUGAGGGCUGGUUGAGAUCCUCCCUUUGUGAGUGCCAAGUAUUUGCAUGCUAGCUGCUUCCCUGUCCUUCCACUAGAUGCCAGCAGUGUCCCAGGAGACUGUCUGGGUGGCUCUGUUGUGCCUCUCUGGGAGUUUUCAAAAUCAGCGCAAGGAAAGUUGCUCCAGCUCCAAGUACACUACAUUGUUUCUAGAGUUGGAGGGCUGCUUAUGGUAUCUUGGUCACCCGGUUCCCUACCUGCGCUGGUUUCAGAACAACAGGGUCAAGUUUAGGCACACAACAAUGCAUCGGGUG